rnacentral:lncRNA from 1 species
CUUGGCAUUCGUUGGCUGGUCCGACCAAUGCGGCAUCGCCACUAUAGGCACACCAGAGCUGAUUGCCUCUAAUGUCGAGUUCCAUCCACAAUGUGUCACAAAACACCCAAUGGACGGGUGUGCUAGGACCUCCAGCUGCGAGCACCAUGGCACAAUGAGACCCCUCCCUUUUGCCUUAUCAGCGAAGGUUGCAGGUAGCUUCGAAGUCUCCUUAGCCCGGACGACCCAUAAGAAGGGCUUGUCAAUGUUGUAGAGACCUUCGGCUACCUCAGUCAUCUGUUUGGAGCUUAGGGAGGCUAUGCUGCCGAAGGAGACAUAAACAACAGACAGCGAGGGGUGGGCGUCAAGCCACGCCUUGGUUUCAAACGUCUUUGGGGUGUGGAGGUGGAUGCCACAGGAUGCAUCAUUUGGAAGGCGAUUGUCAAGGUACACCGAUGGCAUGGUUGGGCCGACCGUCUUGGCACCCCAUGCAGAAGUCAAGUAGUCUGCUUCCUAUGAAUGUGACAACGAUGCAGUGUCAAAAUUAAAUACUACUCAUAUAUAUAUAUAUAUAUAUAUAAACGAGAGAUAUUUUAGUUUUGCCCUAAGUCAACCUAUUUAAAUUUCGACUAAGUUUAUAUAAAAAUGCACCAACACUUGUUACAUCAAAUUAGUUUAAUUGGAUCGAUCACAAAGUGUCUUCUAAUAAUUCAUUACAUGAUAUUAUUGAUUUUAAUUUUUUUAUAAAUCUGGUUCAAGUUAAAAAGUUUGUCUUAAGACAAAACAAAACUAAAACGUAACACGAAUUGAGUAGCAUGCAAUCAGUGCCAUGUCAUGUUCAUGCGUGGAUGUACAUGAGCUGAGCUCACCUGUGGCUCCAAGUCAUAGAACGAGUUGACAAGCACGUGGUCCACGGUGUCCAACCCCACGAACUGGUUCAUCAGCAACUCCAGGAGUCCAGGGGGAAGGUUCUUGUCGACCAUGAACGUGGGCAGGUCGGUCAGUUCGAGCUGGGACGGCAGCCCGUCCAGCUCCGGCGGCAAUUCCUCCCGCACCGGCGGCGGCGGGAUCCUGCCAGCCCGCAGGUGCGUGUACAGCACGUCCACGGCGCACGUCUGCGUGAGGAACGCGGCGCACGCCGCGCCGUGCCGCCUCGCCACGCCCUGCGCCCACGGCAGGAACGCGUCGUACACCACCCCGUGCACCGGCCGGCCCAGCUCCGACUCCGACCGGAGGAGCUGGUCCACGGACCCGGGCCCGGCGGCGUUGAGCCGCUCGAAGUAGGGGCCGCGGUGCCCUCCUACACCGUCGGGGCCGACGUCGUCGCAGCCGUCGGAGAAGACAGCGAUGUGGACGGAGCCGGUGGCCGCCGGCCUGGCCGAGCUGGCGACGAAGCGGGUCACCGCGAGGGUGCACCGGACGCUGCUGUGGCCGGCGAGAACCUUGGCGAAUUGGAAGAGCGGGUUGAUGUGGCCCUGGGACGGGUAUGGCAGGACGAGGAUGUGGAUGCGGUGAUCGGAGUAGUUCACCAUGGCUAUAUGUGAGCUUGAUGACAAUACUGCCUAGGCCGAUGUUUAGUGU